GCCGGGCAGGGCCGGGCCCGGCCCCGCCACUGUUCUGUGCGCGGGACAGCUCCCUCCCGGCCGGAAGGGGCUUUAUUCAGCCACUGGCCCAAGCACAGAACAGAGGCAGCUGCAGCCUGGCCGGGCUCUGGCGCCAGGAGCUGAAUAAGGCCCUUCCUCCCAGGAGGGGGCUUGCCCCGAGCACAGAACAGUGGCGGGGCCGAGCCCGGCCCCACUCAGCAGCUGGAGCAGCGACCGGUGCAGGGGGCAGAAGAGGACAAAACUAGUUCCCCAUUACAAAAGAGUGACAGAAACUCUGUAAGAAAAACCUCAUAUUCCCUUGCCCGGAGCCACUUUUCACAGGGACCAGGACUCCCUGACGAAGAUUCCAGACGGACUCAGAAGAAACGCCGCCAGGCCUACGGUCAGGGAGGGAAGACCAGGGUAUCGCUGCAAUAGACAGGCCUUGGCUGAACAGGACCCCAAAGAAGGCCUGGGAGAGACCCUGUCAAGCGGUCACAUCCCCUUCAUGUUCACAUGAAAGCAAGAACAGGAAGUGGAAGCUGGAGACAAAUGGAUCCCAGAGACUCUGGAUGCUGUUGCAGCCAAAGCAAUGGAAGGGGGAACAGCGGUCUCAGAGAAGCCCAGGGGUCUCAACUUAACUCCUCAUAUGACACACAAGGCUCACAGGGAACAAGCUGGACAGCUCUAUUGUACAGCAUACUGAUCACUUUGUACUGAAAUUAAGGCUCUGAUUAUUUACCAUAAAAGCAGAGUAUGACAAUAUUAAAUGAAUACUCUCUGUAAAUACAGUUUCUCUAAAAGGCCUCCUGGUUUGAUAUACGAAAUAUGAAAUAUACAAUCUAGAUUCAAUACUUUAUGAUGGCAUCUUCUGAGAUCUUAGUGCAUAUUUCGCAUUUAGCUGAGGUCCAGGAUUAGAAGAGGAUGAGAAGUCAUCCUGAUUCACGAGGCAUGGUAUUUCCCAGUCAUGUUUGAGACGUCUUGUUUAAACAGGAUGAGAAAAGAUGCUGCUCUAAUCAAUGCCAGUAUUCUGACAUUUACACGCACACACGUAUACUGGAUGUACCAUUCACACAACAAUUAAAAAGUCCAAUAGCCACAGCUAUUGAAUACAAAAAUAUACCUCAUAAUAAUUGCAAACAUUUUUACAAAAAAACCCCCAAAGUUUGAGUUGGGUAAAUGCUUAUCUCAAGUUCUUCAGCUUAUAUACUUUAAUUGGAUCUUUAAAAUAAACAUUUAAAAAUCAGAUAAAACAAAUAUCAUUGGACCCUCCACUAAUGUAUAUGCAAUUCAACUGCCUGAUGCCCAGGUGCACAGAGCAUAGGCUAUUCCACAUGCAUGCUAAAGGAUCUACAGACCAAGACAAGGUUAAGGCAGAUGCACAGAAAACAUUUCAUGUGUCUAGGAUAUACAAACCAAGAAUUUUGGCAUAUAUCAGCAAAAAUUGCACAAAUAAGUUUGUUGCCAUCAAGAAACAGAUUCUUCCAUCUCUGUAUUACUAGCAGAAUUUAAGACUUGCUCUCGUGAGAGAGGUUCUAAACUGUUUCUAUUAGAUUUAAGCUUGGGGGGGCGGAAAUGUUUCCAAGGGCUGAACUUGCAAAUAUAUUGCCUUCCAAAUGUGUUUUUCUUAGUUUGUGGAGUCAUGGUUCAGCUGCAGUAGAAUUUUAAUAUCCUUGCCAGUUUCACCAGUUCUCUUCCGAACUUCCUGGAGAAGAGUGAAACAGACAAAUUAGGUCAAUUUUACACUGCUAGUCUUGAGAAGGCUCAGCAGCAGAGACAGACUUGGCACAGUGCUCUCCUGGUAGGAAGAUAAGCACAAAAAGACUAAGGAGGGUUUUUACAACCCAAGCACUGUGAUACUAACUAACAUCUAGUAACCAAGCCUUAAGAACUGGUACCAGACACUACUAGUCAGGGGUUAAUACAAACAGGGAAGCUGAAGCUUCCUCGACAGCAAGGGCUAGGAUCUAGAUACUGAUGACAAGGUCCACUUCUAAACACCAGAAAUGAAAGUGCAUCAAGAGUCCUACUAGGAUACUGUUCCUACUCAGCAACCUCACAUUAAGUUUGGGCUAGCAGGCAUCUGUAAAUGUGACAGACAGGAGAAACCAUUCACGGUUCUAAGUUUUAUACACCUUUCCUCAUCCACCUGCAAGCUAAAAAGCAGUUUUACAACUCCUUAAAGUUGAAAUUCCUUGAUUACAUAUUAAGAUAAUGAAUAAAGAACAAUAAACUGAAAACUCACAGUUAAGAACUUCUGUCACUGUCUAAUCAAGCUGUCUUGUCAUUUUAUCAACUGCAACUAUGAAAAUAUGCACAACAUCUGACACAUUACCUGUGAAUUUUAAGUAGUAUUUUUUCUGAAGCAUCCAAGCCACAUGCAUACCUUCUUGUAUAUAGUUCAUUCGGACAUAAGUGGGCCUGAUAUCCUCAAGCAGAUUGAUUUUUCUUUCACACCAGUAAAGUGGCUUAUGCAUUUGAUUUGUUGUUUCUUCAUGAAUCUACAUCAAUUCUACUUCUUCUACAUUCUGGGACAGGGACCGUCCGUUACAUUGUGUGCAGCACCAAAGACAGCAUGGGGCCCUGGCUUCUCCAAGCUACCAUAGCAAUAUGGACAAGAAAUCCUACUCUUAAAGGAAACUACAACAAAAUACUAAGAAAAGGCAAUAUUUUAGGGUUUUGUUGCACACUGGAUUGCUGCUGAACAACACAAUUACAUAUAAUCUGUUUAAAUACAAUGGAGAAUGUCAAUGUUAGUUUUUUCCAGAAAUAAACAAAUAAAGAAGCUUCAAUUAGUUGAUGCUGGUAACAGGAUUCUGUACUAUUUCUAUUAUUGCGUGUAUGCUUGCCUUGUUUUGGGGACAGUCAGUGCCUUAGGCCAAAAACUGCAAGAUCAGCAUAAUGGUUAAUCAGUAUGUUUGUGGACAAGUUAAACUCUAGCCAAAGUGGGAAAAACAAUUUCUAGUUUGAUGUCUGAAGAGUGUAUAUACUUCUUAAACAAAAAUCCUCAUGAGAAAUAAAAUACUCUUGAAACUAUAGCCUCUUAACUGUACUCUACCACCAAUAUUAUAUCCAGGUGCCAUCAACACUGUCUAUUCCAAAUUAAUACCUUGUGACUAUAUUACUCAGAGAUCAAUGAGGUUUAUUUUGCUAUUGUUUCAGUCACAAUAGAACAACAAGCCUUGCAAAAAAGACUGAAUGCAUGUUUUGAUUAACUGUUCUGUUUGCUAGCCUGCAUAACUUUUAUAUACUAUAUAUAUGAAAAGUACAAGCCUUUUGCACAACUAAGAUCAGAGAAGAACUCCUGAUCCUGUAUAAGCUGCUGUUCUUCUGUCAUUUACACACCUGGCAGAUAAGGUUUAUUUUCAGAAGAAAUUAUUUCUCAGAUCAAAUACUUGACACUUUGCCGCUUCAACUGAACCCUCCACUAGGACUAAAACUUGAGAAAAACAAGCCAGUAACAUUUUAAGUUUUA